rnacentral:lncRNA from 1 species
CGUGAACCCGCUGGGCCUCACCACGUAUCGCGUGUCGGGGCAGCAGCCCGCCGCCGUGUGCGGCUGCUCGCUGCUGCGCUGGGCGGCGGAGGACGGCUGCCUGGUCAUCGAGCUGGCGGUCAGGGAGCAGCAGCAGCAGCAGGUGGGUGUUUGAGCCAUUGAGUGAUUGUGGGAAUCUGGGACUCGAGGAAUGCAACAUGGGCGGGCCAGCUGGGGAGCUACUUAGCUACUCAGGCGCAGCAUCUCCAACUCGAUGCCACCAUCGUGAACACGCGCUGAGCAGCCAGCCGCACCUGUGUCUCUCCUCCCCUCAGGCGCCCACGCCAGUGGCCGCCCGCCGCCUGUUCGGCGACUGCCUGCCUUCGCCCGCCACCAUCCGCAAGGAGCCCAUGGCCCGCACCCGCGCACUGGCGGAGC